rnacentral:rRNA from 1 species
GACGAACGCUGGCGGCGUGCUUAACACAUGCAAGUCGAACGGGUUGGCGAACGGGUGAGUAACACGUGGUUGACCUGCCCUGCCAUUCGGGAUAAGCCUGGGAACCUGUUUCUAAUACCGUGUAGUGUGGGUUGGGCCCGCGGCCUAUCAGCUUUUUGGUGGGGUCAUGGCCUACGAAGGCGGCGAUGGGUAGCCGGCCUGAGAGGGUGGACGGCCACAGUGGGACUGGGACACGGCCCAGACGCCUCCGGGAGGCAGCAGUGGGGAAUAUUGCACAAGGGGCGGAAGCCGGAAGCAGCGACGCCGCGUGGGGGAGGACGGCCGUCGGGGUGUAAACUCCGUGCAACAUCGACGCGGUAGAUGGAGAAGAAGCACCGGCUAACUACGUGCCAGCAGCCGCGGUAAUAC